UACAGAGGGGGCAAGCGUUGUUCGGAAUUACUGGGCGUAAAGGGCGCGUAGGCGGCCUUCUAAGUCGAACGUGAAAUCCCCGGGCUCAACCCGGGAACUGCGUCCGAUACUGGAAGGCUUGAAUCCGGGAGAGGGAUGUGGAAUUCCAGGUGUAGCGGUGAAAUGCGUAGAUAUCUGGAGGAACACCGGUGGCAAAGGCGACAUCCUGGACCGGUAUUGACGCUGAGGCGCGAAAGCCAGGGGAGCAAACGGG
rnacentral:rRNA from 1 species